UGAACUUUGAAUCCCAAAUUUCUGAAGUAUGGAACUGUGCAUCCCUGGGAUCAAGACCUCCCUCCAGACCCUGCCGCUUAAAGGUCCCGCCAGCUCUCAACAGCAUCCUCAAACUGGGACCUGGCUCCUGGAGCGUGAAACUUUGGGGUACACACUGAACCGCCAUCCAAACCAUAGCAGGCACUCUGCUGGAAGAGUUACUCUGGCAGCUGAAGUGGGAGGAUUUCAAGUUCCAGGUAUUCAGUGAUUCCUGGACAGCGCCUCCCUGAGCUCUUUUGGCAAACCCAAAUGUCAAAUUGCCUGCUUUCUGCGCAAGCCCAAUGGCUCCUCCGAUCAGCUGUCAAUACAUCAUUUUGCCCGCCCCUUCAACCCCGCCCACUAUCAAAUUCCAAAUAAAGUCCCCUGUCUGGAAGUCUGGAAGCUUCUAGCGGGUGCCUGAGUCUGCAGCAGCUCUCCAGUGCCCUCAAUCAAGGGCUUUUCUCAUCUGCUCUCUCUUUUCUCUCAUGCCAUGGAAGACCAUUCAGCUUUGCCAUUGAGGCAGAAAGGUAGCUAGCUACAUGCAGCACCUACGGGCAAGCACAGCUGUGUGCCAAUAAAACUUUAUUUAUAA